rnacentral:rRNA from 1 species
GACGAACGCUGGCGGCGUGCUUAACACAUGCAAGUCGAACGGAAAGGCCCUGCUUUUGUGGGGUGCUCGAGUGGCGAACGGGUGAGUAACACGUGAGUAACCUGCCCUUGACUUUGUGAUAACUUCAGGAAACUGGGGCUAAUACCGGAUAGGAGCUCCUGCUGCAUGGUGGGGGUUGGAAAGUUUCGGCGGUUGGGGAUGGACUCGCGGCUUAUCAGCUUGUUGGUGGGGUAGUGGCUUACCAAGGCUUUGACGGGUAGCCGGCCUGAGAGGGUGACCGGCCACAUUGGGACUGAGAUACGGACCAGACUCCUACGGGAGGCAGCAGUGGGGAAUAUUGCACAAUGGGCGGAAGCCUGAUGCAGCAACGCCGCGUGCGGGAUGACGGCCUUCGGGUUGUAAACCGCUUUAGCCUGUGACGAAGCGUGAGUGACGGUAAUGGGUAAAGAAGCACCGGCUAACUACGUG